GCCGGGAUGGCGGAAUCGGUAGACGCAGCAGACUUAAAAUCUGCCACCCGCAAGGGUGUACGGGUUCAAGUCCCGUUCUCGGCACCA
rnacentral:tRNA from 4 species